UAAAAUAAAGCUGAGAGAUCAGAUUCAUUCUAUCUAGCGAAACCACAGCCAAGGGAACGGGCGUGGAAUAAUUAGCGGGGAAAGAAGACCCUUUUGAGCUUGACUCUAAUCUGGCAGUGUAAGGAGACAUAAGAGGUGUAGCAUAAGUGGGAGAUAUUAGAUUUCGGUUUGGUAUCGACCAUGAAAUACCACUACUCUUAUUGUUUCCUUACUUACUUGAUUAAAUGGAACGUGUAUCAUUUCCUAGCCAUUAUACGGAUAUAUUUAUUAUAUCUUAUGGUAUUGGGUUUUGAUGCAAGCUUCUUGAUCAAAGUAUCACGAGUUUGUUAUAUAAUCGCAAACAAAUUCUUUAAUGAGAAAAUGCUUUUAUGUAUUUUCAGUUUGAAAAUUUGGUAUAACUCCAAUUACUCAGGUAUGAUCCAAUUCAAGGACAUUGCCAGGUAGGGAGUUUGACUGGGGAGGCGGAGGUGUCCCAAGGCCAGCUCAGUGCGGACAGAAACCACACAUAGAGCAAAAGGGCACAUGCUGACUUGAUCUCGGUGUUCAGUACACACAGGGACAGCAAAAGCUCGGCCUAUCGAUUCUUUUGGUUUAAAGAGUUUUUAACAAGAGGUGUCAGAAAAGUUACCAUAGGGAUAACUGGCUUGUGGCGGCCAAGCGUUCAUAGCGACGUCGCUUUUUGAUCCUUCGAUGUCGGCUCUUCCUAUCAUUGUGAAGCAAAAUUCACCAAGCGUUGGAUUGUUCACCCACGCAAGGGAAAGUGAGCUGGGUUUAGACCGUCGUGAGACAGGUUAGUUUUACCCUACUAAUGACAAAACGUUGUUGCGACAGCAUUCCUGCGUAGUACGAGAGGAACCGCAGGUACGGAGCAAUGGCACAAUACUUGUUCGAGCGAACAGUGGUAUGACGCUACGUCCCGUUGGAUUAUGCCUGAACGCCUCUAAGGUCGUAUCCGUGCUGGACUGCAAUGAUAAAUAAGGGGCAAUUUGCAUUGUAUGGGCUUCUAAACCUAAUGUUUGAUGAAGCAAUGGGGUCCAUUGUUUAUAUUAUGGGGGC
rnacentral:ncRNA from 1 species